rnacentral:lncRNA from 1 species
GAAUGCUUCUCAUAAAAUUACGAUUAUGGUGAGAGCGCUGACUAGGGAUAUAAUUGAGUUUAGUGAGUAUCCUGUUAGUAUUGGGAAUCAGUAUACUAGUCCAGCUAUGAUGGCUGCGGCUAGUACUGGGAGUGAUAGUAGUAGAAGAAUGGCUGUGAGGAAAACUGAUCAGACGAAUAGGGGUCAGUUGUACGGAGAUAUGUGGUGGGGAGAUAUGUUGAUGCAGGUGGUAAUGAAAUUAAUUGCGCCAAGGAUGGAGGAUGCUCCUGCUAAGUGUAGGGCGAAGAUGGCAAGGUCUAUUGAUGGGCCGGCGUGGGCUAGGUUUCC